UUCUCUGGGAGUAAAUAAGGAUUAGUAGAUUAGCAGUACAUUAGUAGUAGUAUAGUAGUAGUAUAGUAGUAGUAGAGUACAGGUCUGACCGUGAGUGAGGUGCAGCUGGUGGAAGAAGAGCUGGUAGCAUUUCUCUGGGAGUAAAUAAGGAUUAGUAGAUUAGCAGUACAGUAGUAGUAUAGUAGUAGUAGUAUGGUAUUAGUAGAGUAGUAGUAGAGUACAGGUCUGACCGUGAGUGAGGUGCAGCUGGUGGAAGAAGAGCUGGUAGCAUUUCUCUGGGAGUAAAUAAGGAUUA